CGGCGGGGGAGAGGGGCGCGCCCGCGGUGCCCGCAGCGCCCGGCGGAGGCCGCGCCACGCGGGGGGAGCGUGGGCGCGGCGGGCGGAGGCCGAGCGACGCCGCGGCCGCUCCUCUCCCCCCUCAGCCCGGCGGAUCGGGGUCGCACCGGCCCGGGAGCCGCGAGCGGCUCCGCCCCCCCCGCCCCUGUGCAGGGCCCCGGCGGCUGCGCGCGGCCCCGGCAGUGCUCGUCCCGCGCCCAUGGCGCCGCUCUCGGCGGCGGAGCCUCCGCCUCCCCCCGCGCCGCUUCCUCCCGCCGUCCCCUUCCGCUUCCGGGGUCAGCGCCGCCGCUGCUCGCUGAGCAGCCCCGUCCCGGGGCCCGGCCGGCACCGCCGGCAGCAGCCGCCGCCCCGCCGCCCCCAUGGCCACCAACCCCCAGCCCCCGCCGCCCCCGCCGCCGCCCCCUCAGCAGCCGCCGCCGCUGCCGGGGACCGCGGCCGGCGCGGGGGGCGGCACGGCCGAACCCGAGCUGGUCUCCAUGAUCGUUAACCACCUCAAGAGCCAGGGGCUCUUCGACCAGUUCCGCCGCGACUGCUUGGCCGACGUGGACACCAAGCCGGCCUACCAGAAUCUGAGACAGCGCGUUGACAACUUUGUUUCCAACCAUUUGGCAACUCAUACCUGGAGUCCUCAUCUCAACAAGAACCAGCUGAGGAAUAACAUUAGGCAGCAGGUUCUCAAGUCUGGAAUGUUGGAAUCGGGAAUUGACAGAAUUAUUUCUCAGGUUGUGGACCCAAAGAUCAACCACACAUUUAGACCUCAGGUGGAAAAAGCUGUCCAUGAAUUUUUAGCCACAUUGAAUCACAAAGAGGAGGCAGGCCCCAGUACAACUCCAAGUGAGGAGAAAGCAGAUGCUUCUGUUACAGUACAAGGUGUCUCUGCUACAACUCCAAGUGCUAAUGUAGCUAGUGAUGCAAUGUCCAUUUUGGAAACAAUAACUUCUCUUAAUCAAGAAGCAAGUGCUGCCAGGGCUUCAACAGAGACCUCCAAUCCCAAGAACAAUGACAAAGUUUCUAAAAAACUCUCAUCUCAACAGAGUGUGGAUGGUAGCACUGAUAAAGAGAGAAAUGCAGAGGACUUGUCAGACAAAGAGAAAGCAGUUUGUGACCUUUCUGGAGAAGGGGCUGAAGCACUUGCAAAGUGUGAAGAUUUAAAUGAGCUUCCCUGCCAAAGUGAAGAAAUAAAAAAUUCAGCAAAGGAUACUAAUAUGUUUACAAGUAAAGAUAUUCCACAGGAAAGUGAAGAUGUAAAGAGUAAAUUAUUGGAUAAAUCUGACAAGAAACCAGAGGGCAGCGAAAAAAGUGAAAGAAGAAAAGAAAAGAAGGAAAAGCUUGACAAGAAAUCUGAUCAUUCAAAGAAAAGUGAUGAUACUACAAAGUCAAAAGAAGAAAAGCAAGCAAAAGAGUCAGAACAAAUGAAACACUUAGUUCCAGAAAAAAAUAGCAAUAAACAUAAAGCAAAUGAAACCACUAAAGAAGAAAAUAUGUUAAUAGAUUCAGAUAUGGAUGUACUCAGUGACAUCACGGUCAGCUCCGUCCAUACCAGUGACCUUUCUUCCUUUGAAGAAGAGAGUGAAGAGGAACCUGUAAUUUCUGACAGUACUGAAGAGGGGGAGAUCACAUCAGAUGAAGAGGAGAAGAGCAGCCAGAGUAAGACGAAGCCCCACGCGAACGAGCUGAGUGAUGGGAAAGCCAAGCCCGUUCGGCACGCUUACGUUCGCAAGCCUUUCCUGUACUCCAAGUACUUCAGCGACUCUGACGAUGAGCGAACCGUAGAGCAGCGCCGGCAGUCCAUUGCCAAAGAAAAAGAAGAGAGACUCCUCAGAAGACGAAUUAACAGAGAGAGACUUGAAGAAAAACGUAAACAGAAGGCUGCAGAAAAGACAAAAUCCCUAAAAACUGGAAAUCAGAAUGCUAAAGGAAAAAGUGGCUUGCAAUCAGAAGAACCUUCAUCAAAGAGUCUAGAGUCAAAAACGACUGGUACCAGCAUUAAGGAUGUGCUUAAAGAGCAGAAAAUUUUGGAAAAAAAAGUGGCCCUGAGCAGAAAAAGAAAAAGAGAUUCAAGGCAUGCUGAAGAUAGCUGCAGAAAGAAAAAUGAGCCAUCUGAAGAAGAUUCUAAAGAAAUGCAAAAGACAAAUGAGACCUGUGAAAAAAAUUCUUCCAAAGAAUUGAAACACAAUCAUGGAAAAAAUGAAAUCUGUAAACAACUUAGAAGACUUUCAGAAUUGGGGCAUUCAGCUGAGGAAAGCAAAAGUGAUUCUAAAGCAGAAAAAGAACAUAAAAGAAAAACUUCCACUUCUCUUCAGACUGAAGGAUCUCAGCAGGACAGCGAAACAAAGGAUGCAAAAAAACAACUGGAUAAAGCAGAAGUCAAUACUGAAGAACCACAGAAGCAGAAAUCCAUAUCUAAGAAUGAAAAACACCCCAGAAAAGAUACUGACACGGAAAUUCAGCAUAUGAGAAAUUCUGCCAAAAAAGAAGCCAAGUCUUACAGAGAUAAAAAUGAAAAGGAAAGAACUGCUUUAGAAGAUAAACUUCCUUUAAAGCACAAAUAUAAAGGAGAUGGUAUUCACAAGUCAGGUGAAGAUGUUGAACUUCAUUCAUUUGAGCGAAGUUUGAAAGGAGAGGAUGGUGGCCAGAAACAUAACCAACAAAUAAAGGCUUCCGCAGAUGACAAAUGUGAAAGAAAAAGUAAACACCGAAGUGAACGGAAAGUAUCAGUGACAGGGAAAGAUGGUAAAAACCCUUCUGAAUCAACCUUAAAAGCUGAAGAAUUGCUGCGUAAAGAAAACAAAAAGGACAGACAUCUCUCAACAGACAAACCAAGAGCGGAAUGCAAGACCAAAAGGUCUUUGAGUGAUUCUAAGCCACAGAAGGAUUCCCUAAGUGCCUCAAAGCAACCUGGUUCAGCAUCACACAGAAGAAGUGAAAGCUACUCAGAAGAUAAACAUGAAAUAGAAUCAACUAACUCUGAUAGUAAUGUAAAACUUGAAGAUGGUGUUCAUAAAGAUAGACGAAGAUCUAAGAGCCUUGCAGAAGACAAGAUUUUAUUGAAGUCCAAGUCAAAGAGUCACAGUAAACAGUUCAAAGCAUCUGAAACAGAAUUACAGGAAUUAACAAAACAAGACACUGGACAGAAACUAGACAAAGAUAAGAGCAUGGAAGACAAUGAUUCAGAUAAACAGCACAAAUCCAGGAAUGAAGAUAAACGUUUGGAGGAGAGUGGUGCUGAGUUUCAGCUUGCAAGUGGCCCACAGUCAACUCAGGGAUCACAAAAAGACUUUAGUCACAGAGUUAAGUUACAUUCUGGAGAAAAAGGGGCAGUAAAAGAGAAAUACAGAGGUGAUAAAGAUUUAAGUAAUUCCAAACUAGAAAGAAGGUUCUCUGCUGAAGGUCAUAAAAGCAGAAACUUAAAACACAGCAACAAGGAAAUAAAGAAGAAGGAAGAGAGCAUCAAAUUGGAAGAUAAAGAUACUAAAGAAAUGGAUGGGGGGCAUGAAAGGUUAUCUAAUGUCACAAUGGCAGUGGAUAAAAAACAAAGCAAGAAGGUAUCCUGUGAAAAUAGGAAAGGCAGUAUAUCAAACCACGAUUUGCUUAAGGAGGAAAAGCAAUCAACUGGCACAACUGAAAGCAGCCAGGUUCCAGCCCCUCAAAAGGCAGCUAUGAAUAAUGAUGACUUGCAUGCUGGUCAUGAGGAAGAGCUGAUUGAAGUUGAUUUGAAAAAAAUAAAAGCACAGGAAGCAUCUAACACUGAUGGAAAAAACAUUCAAAACUCUCUCCAAGCCACAGAUGCCAAGUGUGCAGUAAAACAAAAAGGAUCUCGUUCUAUCUCAAAUAAGGAGUUAAAACACAGCUUGGCAGGUCCUGAAGCUCGUGAAUCACAGUUUCUGCCUGCAGCUGAAAAAACUGUUGAACAAGAAGAUAUUUCUAAUAAACAAGUUGGUGCCUUAGACCCUCUGUCCAAAAAAGCUUCCAUGACUCAAGGUCCCAGUAAACAAGGGGCUUAUAAAACAGGUAUUGUGUGUGAAACAAGUGGUAGAACCUUAAAGAAUGCAUCCACUAAGGAUCAGGCUUCAAAAGAUAGCAGAAGACCAAAGAAUUUAAAAACUGUGAUAAAUUCUAAUUCAGAUGAUGUUCCUUUAGCAAUUAAUUCUUCAAGAGAAGAUGCUGCUGAUGCAAAGUCCAUGGAUAUGGAUAUCUCAGAUUCUACAGAUUCUUUAGGUACAAUGUCUAAAGAAUGCCACAAUUCAGAUGGGACUUCCUUAUUAGAAGAUGCUUUCCCUUUGAAGAAUGAUACAGCACAGGUUGUAUACAUGGAGCAAGACCAUGCAGUGCCAAGUUCUGUCAUGAAAGCUGAUGGUGACAACACCAGCGUGGCAAACAGUAUGGAAAAAGUUAAUGAGAUGUCCCGGCCUGAUGAACAGGCAGUGGAAGGCAGUACAGCUGGGUUACGUAGGCGAGAAGAUUGCAAUGAAGCAGCAAAGUCAGAAAGCUCUCAAAAUAGGAAGUUGAGAAGAAAAGAGGAAAAUUUGAUGUCUGGCAUAACUGAAGAUCAUGGAAACGUAACAACAAAAGAACUUACCCCAAGAAGAAAAGGAAGAGAGUGCUUGAAUAUAGAUCCUUCCACAAAGGGAGAAAGCACAAUGACGGAUAGUGUGGAAAAGAACAAGGUGGAUAACACAGAUGAUAUGAUCCAGUCUUCCUCUGUUUUAGUGCCUGAAAGAGGUCCUGAGGAAAGUUUCAAAGGCUCUGUUAUAGCCAAUGGGCAAGAAGAAACUAAUGUGGUUAGCAUGGAAGACAAAAAUGAAAGCAAUGCUGUAGGUACCAGUGCAGCAAGUAGUAAACUUAGUUUGUUGUAUAGCAGCCUACAAAAAACUCCUGCCAGUGUGAUAGGAACUAGCACAGAAAAGAUCACUGAGAGCACUGCAAUGGCAACUAGUACAGGAGGAGAAGGAGCUGAGGGUACAUCACAAUCUGGAAAGGACGGUGAUGCUACAACGACUUGCUCAGAAGAAAGUGAGGUGACAGUAAUCUGCACAAGCAUAGAAGCUGAUGAAGGUUUCACAACAGGCAUAUGGGUAAAACCUAGUGAGGGCUGCAGUUUUGUCACAGGAGCAGAUAUUGGUGACUGUACUGUUGCAGCAGCGGAAGAAGGUGGUGGCAGUGUUGUCACUGAAGGAUUAGCAGAAAGUGAAAGCUUCCUAACAAGUACAGAAGGAGAAGAAAAUGGUGACUGUACCAUGGUUGAUGCAGAAGAAGGGGGUAAGGAUUCAGUGAACCCAAGUGGAGUAGAAAUUGAAGACAGUGUAAACAGUGCUGGGACAGAAGAAAAAGAUGAUGCUGUGACUAGUGCAGGCUCCGAAGAAAAGCAAAAUACCUCAGCUUGUGUAGAUACAGGCAAAUUUGAAAGUUCUGUGUCCUGCUUAGGUGAAAUGGAGAGUGAUGGAGCUGUAACUAGUGCAGGGACAGAAACAGGUGAAGGGUCAACCAGUGGUGAUAAUUCAGGUGAAUUUAGGGGCAAUGUGACAGCUGGCCAAGUAAAAGAACAUGAAAGUACUGUGACUUGCACAGGUGCAGAAGAAAGAGGUCAUAACUUCAUCAUCUGCUCUGUGACUGGUACAGAUACCCAAGGAGAAAACACUGUAACUGGUGCGUGUGUUGCAGUGGUCACAGACAACAGUGCCACAGCUGGAACUAGUGGUGACAAAUCUGAGGAUACUGUAACUGGUGAAAGUGCAGUGACCAGCACAGGCAUAACCCCAGAAGAUGAUGCUGAAAUUUCAGCAGUGUGCACAGGGCUAGAAGACAGCAACGAGGGAUUUGUAGUUUGUUUAGAAACUGAAAAAUGUGAAAGUCUAAUGGACAGUACAAGGGCAAAGGAAGAAGCCAGUAUCACUACAGUCAGUGUAGGUCUGUGUGAUGAUGAAGGUUUUGUGACUAGUACAGGCUCAAAAGAAGAGGAUGAAGAAGGUGAGGACAUUGUGACCAGUACAGGAAGAGGAAAUGAAGAAAAUGAGCAUGCUUCUACUUGUACAGGAGUGGAAAGUGAAAAUGCACUCAUUUGUAUAGGUGCAGAAGAAGGUGAAAGUUCCAUUAUCUGCAUAGUUGCUGAACAAAUGGAAGCUGAGUCAGGAGUGGCUGGCACAGAUCUAAAUAAGCUUACUGUCAACAGCAUGACAAGUGCAGAGAAAGAAGCUAAUUUUGGCACAGACUGCAGAAAUUAUAAAGGCAUUGUUGAAAGCAGCGUGACCAGUGCAAGUGCUGCAGAUGAGGGUGCCUUAGCUGCACAGACAGGAAAACGUGAAGAUACCUUGCUUCCCUCAGAUUCUGGGGAAUGUGAGGGUCCCAUGACUAGUGCUAUGGCAGUGCAAGAUGAGACACAGUUUGCUGCUGAAGACAAGCAUGAGAAUGCCAGGACUUUCUUUGACAGCAGAGGACUUGAUGCCUCUAUAAGCAGUGCAGUUCCAAAGAAGGAUGAGACUUCUCUUACUCCUGCUGACAGAGAAGUAAAGGUAAAAGGUGAUGCCAUCUCUACCAGCACAGUGGAAGAUGCUCCUUUACAUUCAGCCACAGAUGCUGAAGAAGGUCCGCUUGCUGUUGCAAGGGUAAAUGAAAAUGGGGAAAAGUCUAUGAUCUUAAUAGACACUGAAGACACAGUGCCUAUGCCAAGCACAGCUACAGAGUUCAAAGAGUGUGUGAAUACUUACAGCAGUAAGCAGGAGAAAGAUGAGUGCGCUAUGAUUUCCACCAGUAUUGUGGAGGAAUUUGAGGCUCCAAUGUCAAGUGCAGCUAUUGAAUAUGAUGGUCAGCUCCCCUCUGUGAAAACAGAAGAAAUAAAUGAAGAUACUAUGGUUUCCGUAGAUAUGGAGGUAUACGAGGUUCCCAUGCCUAGUGAAUCCAGCACAGGAGGAGAUGAAAAUGGUGAUGAUGGAAAUCACCCAACUGCUAGUGGGAAGGAAGAAAAGGAUGAGUGUGCUAUGAUUUCCACAAGUGUUGUGGAAGAACAAGUAAUCCUAAUGUCAAGUGAAGUCACAGAAGAGGUGAUUCAGCAGAUGUCAGACACGGAGUCAAAGAAUGAAACACUAAUGAUCUCUACAAGUACAGCAGAAUGUUUUGAAGCUCCUAUGUCUAGUGUAGCUGUGCAAGAUGAAAACAAACUCACUGCUUCAGAAACAGAGGGAAGAUACGAAGCUGCUAUGAUUACUACAAGCAUGACAGAAGAAUGUGAGAUAGUCCUGAUCAGUGCAGCACCACAAGCUGAAAGUCAGCUCAUCGUAGCAGGAGAUGAAGGUGCAUCAAAUGCAUCAGAGGAAUGUAGGGUGGUGGAGACCACUGCAACUGUAGAUGAACAAUUUGGACUAACUGCUUUCAAUGCAGAUGGGAAAAGCAAAGGUUCUGUGAUUUUUGUGGGAGAAUGUGGAGCUCCUGUGCUAAGAGUUGCAACUGACAGUGAAGAUCAACACACUGCUUCAAACAUAGAAGAUAAAGAGGAGGGGGCAGUGAUCACUCUGAGCACAAUGGAAGAGUGUGAUAGUCUCUUCACUUUCACAGUCAUAGAAGAAAGUCCACUUGCUGCUGAGAGUACAGAAGUAAAAGACAAAAGUGAAGAAAUGUUUAAUACUGCUAACCAGAUUGAAUGCAUCCUUUCAACUACAGACCCAGAAAAAAGCACAAAUUCUUUGCUUGUUAUUGGUAGAGAGAACGAGACACGUGAGAGUGGGGUGAGGACAGAAUCAGCAGCAUCUCAGGCCACAGGAGAGAGUGAAAUCACAGAAACUGAUGAAAAUGCAGUGAACCUCAUGAGUGUAGAUGAAGCCCUUUGCGUGGAGAUUAGUACAGAGACUGCUGAGAGUCCUUCCCCAGAGGCAGGUGAGGACGAUGAGCAAGCAGAAGAUGUUUUGCAGGAGGAUGUUACAUCAGAACUCUCCAGUACGGUUUCAGAAGCAGCGAAAGAGAGUGAUGCUGUGAAGAAUGUAAACCAUAAAUUAAAUUCAAACGUACUUCUAGAAAGUGACUUACCUGAAAUAAGGACUCCCCUGCCUAAGACACAGGGUCUUCCCUUAGUUUCUGCAGAUGAAGUGACUGUAAACACCAACCAUGGUGAAGUAACAGUAGAAGCAGAACUAGGGAAGAAAAGGGACCUCACAUCGUUGCAUGUAGAAAAGCUGUAUGACAAUGAUGGCAAAACCAAUUUGGUCAAAACAGGUGAUACUGGCAUUGAAGUUACUUCUCAGAAAAGUAAUGCAACCUUUAAUUCAGGCAAUAAUGCAGCCUUACCAAAGUUGACAGAAGAACUAGAAAGUACCUUGAGAACUGACAAGUCACAACAGUCUGAAAGUGCAAGAAGUGAAGAAGGAUGUGUGGAUCUUCAGACUAAAGAAUUGCAAAAAGAUAUGCUGCAGAGGAAUGUUCCUUUAGAAAAAGAAACUUCUCAUGUGGAAAACUCGGCUACCCAGAUAACUGAAGAACAUAGAUCUAGAGGAAUUAAAUGUAAAUCUUCAGAAACAAUGGAUGAAAAAAAAUGCAAACAGCAGAUUGCUCAGGAUGUGCUAAAAGAUGAUGAACAAAGUCAGCAUUCCAAAAUGAAACCUGGUAACAUCAAGGAAGUUAUUUCAGGUGAUGCAGCAGAAGUGUCCCAAGAAACUGAUGUAACACAAACACCUCCUAGAAGUACUGCAGAAGAAAAAGAUGAAUUUAACUUGGAACAGGAAGUGUCUGAAAAGAAAAAGCACAGUCCAGAAUCAAAUGAAAAUUCUCCAGAGGAAAAUCAGCCUGUAGUAGUGAAACGCAAAAGGGGACGGCCUCGUAAAUACCCUCUUGAAGCAGUACAGCCUGGUGCUGCAGUCUUCUACCUUUGCAAGUAGAGGGAAAACACCUCAAACAGGUACAGACAUAUCUAAUAAGAAAGAAACAACAAAUGAGGAUGAAGCUGAGAAGGCAGAAAUGGUUGUGCGUAAAAGGGGAAGAAAGCCCAAGCGUUCUAUGAUCCAAUCAGAGGAAACGGAAACACUGGAGCCAGAGAAGAAACGUCGGAAAUUAACGUCUUCUGAAGAUGAGCUAAAAGAGCAAGAGGAAGUUGAGGAAGAGGAUGGUGAGGAAGAUGAUGACGCACAUUCUGGGGCCACAACUAGAUCAGCCACAAGAUUAGAGGCUCAAAGAAAACAGACCAGCAAGCCAACCACACGUGCAACUUCUAAAGGCAGCAGUCCAAGUUCAGUUUCUCCUAGAAAACGACAGAAACUAGCAGCUAAGAAAAGAUCUCCAAGUGAUACAAAAAUUAAUAAAUCUCCUCCAUUGACACAGUUAAAGGUGCAGUCUGCCAAGCGUAAAAGGGAGGACAGCCCAACAGUGGUCCGGAGAAAAGGCCAGCAGAAAGGAGAGGAGACGCCACUAAAGAAAGCAAAACGAUAAUCUUUACCAGCCAGUACUGUUCUUGGAAGAGUCAAAAGGAAAACAAACAUCUGUGCUUCUAUUUUUUUUAAAGCAAAGGGAUUUGCACGUGCUUGUUUCAGAGCUCUAAGUUAAACAAUGCAGUACUUUUAAGUUACAUUUUAAACAGCUUUAUAAACUAUUGUUUAUACAGAAUAUUAUGUACAUUUAUUUCAGAUGAAAAAUAAGUUUACUUUGUAUCUGAAUGAAAAACAAAGUAGUUAUAUAUUUUAUCACUGACUUGGAAAGUUGGAGUUUCCCAAUGUGACAUGCUAAUGCAGAUGCUUCCAGCCCAUAAGGCACCCAUGUGCCUACUAAUACUUUGUACAUAAACUUGUAAAAAUAGGUUGUAUUUUACUCUGUGUAUGAAUCUGAUCAAUGAUGGACAUUUUAUUUAUUAUAUGGAAAGCAUUGGUCUGUAAACUUUAGUAUAUAUCUUAGGGUUUUUUAAUUAUAUAUUUUACAUUCUAUGCAGAUGUCAGUAGGAAACUUCCCCUCUGCUCCCCCAGGGCUGUCUAAAAUCUGAAGUUCUCUAAAAUAUGCUCAGACAGUUGGUAAAAUAUUUUUCUCGCAUGCAUUAAAGUAGUUUAGCAUAGUGAAAGGGACUUGGCUCCUUUCUGUUCACAUUUGUGGCAAAGUACGGCAUUUAAAAUGUAAUCUUACUAGAUUAUAUUUUCACUUGGAAAUUUACUACCAACUUCAAGAAAUAAAUAGUACUAGGUUAGAUUUAUUCACACUCAACCAAUACCACCCUGAAAUGAAAGUUUUAUUUUGCAACUAAACACAUGUUCUUUCAGUAUUUAUCUUUUUCAACAAAGAGGGACCCAUUGAAAUCAAAUGUCACUUCUCCUAACUAUAGAGCUUCAGCAUUUUAUGUUACAUUUUAUACACAGGUAUUAAAAAUAGAAGCUGGUAUUAUUGCCAGAAUCUUUUUUUAAUGUAUAUUAACUCUGUUAAGAGCAAAUGUUCAAGUGAAGUUGUAUAUAAAGUUAAACUUUUCUUAUGAUCAAAUGUGUCUCUUGUUAUGAUGUGAUGAAUUGCCAAACAAUCUGAGAUUAUUUUAAGUGUUUUGUUGAUAUUCUGGUUUAUAAUUAAAAAAUAUUUUGGGGGUUGGAUUUUA